GACGAACGCUGGCGGCGUGCUUAACACAUGCAAGUCGAACGGAAAGGCCUCUUUCGGGGGGUACUCGAGUGGCGAACGGGUGAGUAACACGUGAGUAACCUGCCCUUGACUUUGGGAUAACUUCAGGAAACUGGGGCUAAUACCGGAUAGGAGCUCCUGCUGCAUGGUGGGGGUUGGAAAGUUUCGGCGGUUGGGGAUGGACUCGCGGCUUAUCAGCUUGUUGGUGGGGUAGUGGCUUACCAAGGCUUUGACGGGUAGCCGGCCUGAGAGGGUGACCGGCCACAUUGGGACUGAGAUACGGCCCAGACUCCUACGGGAGGCAGCAGUGGGGAAUAUUGCACAAUGGGUGGAAGCCUGAUGCAGCAACGCCGUGUGCGGGAGGACGGCCUUCGGGUUGUAAACCGCUUUCGCCCAUGACGAAGCUUUGUGUGACGGUAGUGGGUAAAGAAGCACCGGCUAACUACGUG
rnacentral:rRNA from 1 species